UAAGGAAUAUUGGUCAAUGGACGCAAGUCUGAACCAGCCAUGCCGCGUGAAGGAUGAAGGUCCUCUGGAUUGUAAACUUCUUUUAUCUGGGACGAAAACGGGAUUUUUAUCUCAAUUGACGGUACCAGAGGAAUAAGCACCGGCUAACUCCGUGCCAGCAGCCGCGGUAAUACGGAGGGUGCGAGCGGUAUCCGGAUUUAUUGGGUUUAAUGGGUGCGCAGGCGGGAUGUUAAGUCGGCGGUGAAAUUUUGCAGCUCAACUGUAAAAGUGCCUUCGAUACUGGCUUCCUUGAGUGUAGAUGAAGUAGGCGGAAUUUGUGGUGUAGCGGUGAAAUGCUUAGAUAUCACGAGGAACUCCGAUUGCGCAGGCAGCUUACUAAACUACAACUGACGCUCAUGCACGAAGGCGUGGGGAUCAAACA
rnacentral:rRNA from 1 species